rnacentral:rRNA from 1 species
UACGAAGGGAGCUAGCGUUGUUCGGAAUCACUGGGCGUAAAGCGCACGUAGGCGGAUUUGCCAGUCAGGGGUGAAAUCCCGGGGCUCAACCUCGGAACUGCCUUUGAUACAGCAAGUCUUGAGUUCGAGAGAGGUGGGUGGAAUUCCGAGUGUAGAGGUGAAAUUCGUAGAUAUUCGGAAGGAACACCGGGUGGCGAAGGCGGGUCCACUGGGCCGUAACUGACGCUG